UACACGCAAAGAUGCAAUGGCAAGAGAGACAGAAAUUAAAACAAGGUCAAUCAAAAGACAUUUGAUUGAUAGAAUACAAGACAGUAUAAAACUUUGUGAAUAAAAUUGAGUGCGGGAUAGUGGCGGACGGGUGAGUAACGCGUGAAUAAUCUGCCCCAUACAGGGGGAUAGCCUCGGGAAACCGGGAUUAAAACCGCAUAACACUUUAUCACCGCAUGGUGAUGAAGUCAAAUCGAUUAAGAGGUAUGGGAUGAGUUCGCGUCUGAUUAGCUAGUUGGCGGGGUAAAGGCCCACCAAGGCGACGAUCAGUAGCCGGCCUGAGAGGGUGACCGGCCACACUGGAACUGAGACACGGUCCAGACUCCUACGGGAGGCAGCAGUGGGGAAUAUUGCACAAUGGGGGAAACCCUGAUGCAGCGACGCCGCGUGAGUGAAGAAGGUCUUCGGAUCGUAAAACUCUGUCCUUGGUGACGAAGGAAGUGACGGUAACCAAGGAGGAAGCCCCGGCUAACUACGUG
rnacentral:rRNA from 1 species